CAGUCUCCGACAAUGAUAUCAAGCAAGAAAUAGUUGAUACCAUCGCAUACGAUCCAAAAGACAGUGCGAUUAACAAGCCACGUUCUUGCAGUUUUAAUUUAAUUUCCAAAGAGUGCAAUGAGCGGAACGAAUAUCCCAAAUUUAGAAGAGGUUUAAAAAUUGCAGAAAAGUUAAGGAAAAAACGUCUAUUGGUUGUAAACAAUCAUCGCCGGAACUUUACGGGCAGCGGCAACUCGAGCGAUAUCAGAGCGUCCGUAGACGAACAGGUACAAGAAUUAUUAAAACUUAGAAAGGAGCAUCUAAAACAGCCUAGUAUAUAUAACAAUCAAACAAGAAGAUUGGAGAGCCUCGGUGAAUAUUUCGAUAGUAUUAUAAAUAUCAAGAAAAAGC